rnacentral:lncRNA from 1 species
AUGACAAAAAAAUGGCGGAAAAAUCGAAACCGAAAAUUGACAUUUUUGGUAAAAAAUUCAACAUUUUUGGGUCAAAAUCGAAAUUUUCUCUUCCAGUUGGGCGACAAAAAAAUGGCAGAAAAAUCAAAAUGGAAAAUUGACAUUUUUGGUAAAAAAUUCAACAUUUUUGGGUCAAAAUUGAGAUUUCCUCUUCCAAACCGCCAAUCGGAAAAACCGGAACCGGAAGUGGAACCGGAAAUGGAACUGGAACCGGAAGUGGAGCCGGAAGUAGAACCGGGACUGGGAGUAGAACUGGAAACUGAACAGGAAAUGGAACCAAAACCGGAAAUGGUGUCAAAAACCGGAACUGGAACCGGAAGUGGAACCGGAAAUGGCGCCGGAACCGGAAGUGCUGCUCAAUACAAGGGUUGCGGCUCAGCGAUGGGCACAGUGUGA